AGUGAACGCUGGCGGUAGGCCUAACACAUGCAAGUCGAACGGCAGCACAGUAAUAGCUUGCUCUUACGGGUGGCGAGUGGCGGACGGGUGAGGAAUACAUCGGAAUCUACUUUUUCGUGGGGGAUAACGUAGGGAAACUUACGCUAAUACCGCAUACGACCUACGGGUGAAAGCAGGGGAUCUUCUGACCUGGCGGGAUUGAAUGGGCCGGUGGCUUAUUAGCUAGUUGGCGGGGUAGUGGCCCACCAAGGCGACGAUGCGUAGCCGGCCUGAGAGGGUGACCGGCAACAUUGGGACUGGGAGACGGCCCAGAAGCCUACGGGAGGCAGCAGUGGGGAAUAUUGAAAAAGAGGCGGAAGCCGGAGGCAGCCACGCCGCGUGCGGGAUGACGGCCUUCGGGUUGUAAACCGCUUUCGCGCAUGAAGAAGCGUUGUGUGACGGUAGUGGGUAAAGAAGCACCGGAUAACUAAGUG
rnacentral:rRNA from 1 species